CAAAGGGGUGCCUUCAGUGGCUGAGAUUAUACCCUAUGAACCUGAUGUAGUUAGUACUGCCGAAGGGAUUGUUGCC
rnacentral:ncRNA from 1 species